GUAGCCUACGGGAGGCAGCGGUGAGGAAUAUUGGUCAAUGGGCGGAAGCCUGAACCAGCCAAGUCGCGUGAGGGAAUAAGGCCCUACGGGUCGUAAACCUCUUUUGCCGGGGAGCAAGGGCCGGGACGCGUCCCGGCCCGGAGAGUACCCGGAGAAAAAGCAUCGGCUAACUCCGUGCCAGCAGCCGCGGUAAUACGGAGGAUGCGAGCGUUAUCCGGAUUUAUUGGGUAUAAAGGGGGCGUAGGCGGGCUUUUAAGACAGCGGUAAAAAUUCGGGGCACAAAC
rnacentral:rRNA from 1 species